rnacentral:rRNA from 1 species
UACGUAGGGGGCUAGCGUUGUCCGGAUUUAUUGGGCGUAAAGAGCGUGUAGGCGGCCAGGUAGGUCUGGUGUGAAAACUCGAGGCUUAACCUCGAGAUGUCAUCGGAAACCAUCUGGCUAGAGUCCGGAAGAGGAGAGUGGAAUUCCUGGUGUAGCGGUGAAAUGCGCAGAUAUCUGGAGGAAUACCGGUGGCGAAGGCGGCGUUCUGGACUGCAACUGACACUGAUGAACGAAAGCCAGGGGAGCAAACGGG